rnacentral:tRNA from 1 species
GCCGACGUAGCCCAACCUGGUAGAGGCAACGGACUUAAAAUUCGUACAGUGUAGGUUCGACCCCUACCGUCGGUACCA